AUAUAAUUUGCCCAGGAUUACCUGUUUAUUAAGUGGAGGAGCUAGAUUUACAUUUGAGUUCUUUAGAUCCAUUGCUUGUGUCAUUGACCAGUAGAUUAAUACAGAUAUACAUUAUCCAAAUUUUAUUCGGUAUUUUUAUAUAGAAGCAGCUCUGUGAACCUGGAGACUGAAAUUCGCAAUUCUCGCUUUUUGACUAUACCACAUUUGUGACAUGAGCAGGAUAGCUUCUCUGAUCUUUAGUCAUUUCAGCUAGAAAAUAAGGAGAUUGUAUGAAGUUUACUGUUGAAUAUGUUUUUGUGUAUACAAGGUCGUGAAGUUGAAAGAGACUCACCUUGAUGUGGUCUGAACCCAACCUAUGGAAUCUCAUCUUUCAAACGCUGUGUGAUGGAAGGCAGAUUAAUUACUAUUAAACCUCAUUCAGAAAAGUUGAGCUUCUUGAAUAUUAAAUGUGAUAUAAUAUCACAACACAGUAUGUAAGGCACUGUGUGUGAACUGUGGAGGUGAUAGAGAAGGUGACCUGGCCAAUGGAAUUUACAUUUCAGUGGGGAAGCAGAGAGUUAACAGUGACCCUGUGGAACCAAGACAUCUCUUGUUAAGUAAAAGGUAAUGGAUUACAACAAGUUAAUUUUUAAAAAUCCUGAAGAAAGUGCUACUCUUCCACAGAGGCAGUGUCUACUCUUUUUUUUUUCACAUUUGUAGUUUUGGAAGUUUAAGUAGAGUACCAUAGCUCCUGUACCAGGACAGACUUAGAAGGGAGUUAAAAGACCUUGAACAUAGAAUCAAAGUUAGUAUCAAAUAGAGAAUGGACGAGAAAGCAAAAGGAAGGUUGUAUAAAGUGGUGGCAUGUCAUCUACAGUUUGUUUCUUUCCUUAUAAUACUUGCCUUGAGCUAGCCAGGGAAAUAAUAGACUGUAGCAGUCAGCUCUUAAAAAUGACUUUUCUAUCAUUGUUUUUGCUAUGACCUGUCAGCCACUCAUGACCUCUGUUCUGUGGUGCAGGACUGAGGAAUGCACCUUCCUGUGAACUGUUUCUUCUGGCAGUGCUGGAAGUAAAAGGAUGCCUCAUCUUGUG
rnacentral:lncRNA from 1 species